GAUGAACGCUGGCGGCGUGCCUAAUACAUGCAAGUCGAGCGAACGGACGAGAAGCUUGCUUCUCUGAUGUUAGCGGCGGACGGGUGAGUAACACGUGGAUACCUACCUAUAAGACUGGGAUAACUUCGGGAAACCGUAGCUAAUACCGGAUAAUAUUUUGAACCGCAUGGUUCAAAAGUGAAAGACGGUCUUGCUGUCACUUAUAGAUGGAUCCGCGCUGCAUUAGCUAGUUGGUAAGGUAACGGCUUACCAAGGCAACGAUGCAUAGCCGACCUGAGAGGGUGAUCGGCCACACUGGAACUGAGACACGGUCCAGACUCCUACGGGAGGCAGCAGUAGGGAAUCUUCCGCAAUGGGCGAAAGCCUGACGGAGCAACGCCGCGUGAGUGAUGAAGGUCUUCGGAUCGUAAAACUCUGUUAUUAGGGAAGAACAUAUGUGUAAGUAACUGUGCACAUCUUGACGGUACCUAAUCAGAAAGCCACGGCUAACUACGUG
rnacentral:rRNA from 1 species